rnacentral:rRNA from 1 species
UACAGAGGGUGCAAGCGUUAAUCGGAGUUACUGGGCGUAAAGGGCGCGUAGGUGGUUGUUUAAGUGAGAUGUGAAAGCCCUGGGCUUAACCUAGGAACUGCAUCUUAUACUGGGCAACUGGAGUACUGUAGAGGGUAGUGGAAUUUCCGGUGUAGCGGUGAAAUGCGUAGAGAUCGGAAGGAACACCAGUGGCGAAGGCGGCUACCUGGACAGAUACUGACACUGAGGCGCGAGAGCGUGGGGAGCAAACAGG